rnacentral:misc_RNA from 1 species
GAUGAAGAACGUAGCGAAAUGCGAAAAGUAGUGUGAAUUGCAGAAUUCAGUGAAUCAUCGAAUCUUUGAACGCACAUUGCGCCUCGCGGUAUUCUGCGAGGCAUGCCUGUUCGAGCGUCAUUAUCCUCCCUCAAACCCCGGGUUUGGUGUUGGACCCAAGUUGUGUGAACAACUGGUCUCAAAGACAAUGACGGCGUCCGUGGGACCCUCGGUGCAACGAGCUUUUAGGAGCACGCAUCGAGUUGCAAGGACCUUCCGGGCCGGUCUCCUUUACCAUUUUACAAGGUUGACCUCGGAUCAGGUAGGAAUACCCGCUGAACUUAAGCAUAUCAAUAAGCGGAGGA